rnacentral:lncRNA from 1 species
UCAAUUAUUUAACUCAUUCGAGUAUCAAAUUAUUUAACUAUUCAAUUUAGAAUAUUUUAGUUAUAUUCAAUUCAAAUCAUUCAAUUAUUCAAUUAUCUUUUAUAUCUUCCACAAUCACCUUUCAAACUUCGUCUUAAUUUCCUACAUGGUAUCAGAGAAAGGUUUGAUCCUUGGAUCAACCUAUGUCAAUUUUCGUGUUUCUUCAAUAUGAAAAACAUUUCUCAACUUUCUGGUUCACAGUGUUUGGAACAUGUCUACUGACAUGGUUCAUUUAUGGCGAUUGCACUCGCCAUCUUCUCAAUCAUUAGCCAUCAUAUAUCAAUCCCUUUCUCCCUUUAAUUUUUUUAAUCUGGGGAUUCAUUCAUUGUGGUUGUAUUUCUCCUUUUACAAUUCGAUCAUCUUUAAUUUUUGGAAUUAUUUUAUUUGUUGGAUUGUGUUUUUAAAUCAUAAAGUUUUUGGCAUCUGAAGUUUUGUUAAGUUUCCUGGUAAAAAAUCAUAAUCCUAUUUAUCUUCACUCAAAAAUUCAUCCCAAAACAACAUAAUCCUCUUUCUUUCUCUAUUCUUUUCAAAAUAUCCAAUUUUUGAAUUCUUGGUGAUAUUUUUUCAAAAGGAUCGAAAUUAUUAAUCAUCACCACCACCAUCAUCAAAAUCGUCAAUCAUCAUUAAUAUUUUCAUUUUCUUUUAAAAUGGUACCUCAUUCCAAUUAUAUACCCAUUAUGGUGUUUGUUUGUAUCAUUCUCAUGGAUUUUUUUUUUCAUUUCAAUUUUGAAUCCUCAUGAAUUUUCUCAUAAUUUUUUCUCAAAUUUGCUAAAAAUACAUAGUGAUUUUCCCAAUCAAUUCAUCAAACAUGGAAGGCCUUUCCUAUUUUAAUUCAUCGAUCCAAGUUCAAUAGUCAUUCACUGGACCAACCGCUUAACUCACACCAUAUGCAUGGUUAAUCUUAAAUUUUAAUUUUUUCUUGUUGGACAUCGUCUCUAGUGAUGGUAGAGUCACUGCAAUUGUUACAUUCAUUUUUUCAAUCUUUGUCUCACCGGUUCUCUUCAAAACAAUAUAUUGUGCAAGUUGGGGUUCUUUCAUAACCUCCAACUUGAGGGGAAAUAUUGUAAUAUUACUGUAUAUGUUCAUCGGAUCGGGUUGGUUUACCUGUUUUAUCUCACUGUAUAUUCGUCUGUUGCAGUACAUAGCUUGGGCCAGCCUUGGUUUCAGUCGCCUCAACAUGUUGAUUUCGGCCUAAAUAUAGAAAAUCAUUAUUUAUUAUUUAUUCCUUUUGUAUAUCUUGGUAAAUCUUUAGUACAUAUCUCCAAUAUGUUUUACCUUAUUUAGGAGUGUAUCCUACCUUAAUAUUAUUUUGUUAUUUUGUAACUUAUUUAGGUUCCUAUCUUGUUUUGAUGGUUAAUUACUUGUAUAAAUAGGGC